rnacentral:rRNA from 1 species
UACGUAGGGACCAAGCGUUGUUCGGAUUUACUGGGCGUAAAGGGCGCGUAGGCGGCCCCACAAGCCACUUGUGAAAUCUCCGGGCUUAACUCGGAACGGCCAAGUGAAACUGUGGAGCUAGAGUGUGGAAGGGGCAAUCGGAAUUCUUGGUGUAGCGGUGAAAUGCGUAGAUAUCAAGAGGAACACCUGAGGUGAAGACGGGUUGCUGGGCCAACACUGACGCUGAGGCGCGAAAGCCAGGGGAGCAAACGGG